CUCUAUUCCGAUGGAGGAAUGUAUGAGAGGACUUAAUGGCUGAUAAUACCUUAUUAUCCAUUGGACCUUUGCAUUUGGAGGGCAGCCCUAAAGCUGACUAUGACUCAAUAAAAAGGUCUUGGAAUCACAGCCACUGUAACAGGAAGUUGCCUGCAAACGUCAGCAGAGAAGCUAAGGUAUAGACUGGGAGUAACCUCUCUCUCCGACCCCCGGUGACAAGACGGAUAGUUCCAUUCAUCUAUGGUGGUGUACCAGGAAGAGACUGCAAGGUCAGGUGACGAGGUGAGAGCAAUGUGCAAGGCGAGCCGUCUAGCCAGCUCUGCAUCUCUCUAGCAAGCACAUCCGGCGGUUGUAGCCCACUGUUCCCUCUGCCCAGAUGGGCGCAUCCAUCACUUCCCCAGCAAACGUGGUCAGUGCUCCCUCUUGUUUAUCCAAAUACACAAUUGAACAAUAAAC